AUACUUACCUGGACGGGGUCUAUGAGCGAUCAUGAAGGCUCAUGGCCUAGGUAGGUGGCCUCCAUUGCACUUGAGGAGGGGUGCCAACCUAACAUCUUCCCAAAGUGGAAGAGUGUACGUCAUAAUUUGUGUUAGUGGGGGUCUGCGUUCGCGCAACCCCUA